rnacentral:rRNA from 1 species
CCUACGGGUGGCAGCAGUCGAGAAUCAUUCACAAUGGGGGAAACCCUGAUGGUGCGACGCCGCGUGGGGGAAUGAAGGUCUUCGGAUUUUAAACCCCUGUCAUGUGGGAGCAAAUGAAAAAGAUAGUACCACAAGAGGAAGAGACUGCUAACUCUGUGCCAGCCGCCGCGGUAAUACAGAGGUCUCAAGCUUUGUUCGGAAUCACUGGGCGUAAAGGGUUGGCAGGCGGUUUCGUAAGUCGGAUGUGAAAGGCGCGGGCUCAACCCGCGGACGGCACAUGAUACUGGGAGACUAGAGUAAUGGAGGGGGAACCGGAAUUCUCGGUGUAGCAGUGAAAUGCGUAGAUAUCGGGAGGAACACUCGUGGCGAAGGCGGGUUCCUGGACAUUAACUGACGCUGAGGCACGAAGGCCAGGGGAGCGAAAGGGAUUAGAUACCCUAGUAGUC